UUCGCAAUGCCCGAAAGGGUGACGAAGCGACGCCGCGUGUGGGAAGAAGGCCUUCGGGUUGUAAACCACUGUCGGGAGUUAAGAAAUACAAGGAUAUGAAUAGUGUCUUUGUUUGACUAAGGCUCCGGAGGAAGCCACGGCUAACUCUGUGCCAGCAGCCGCGGUAAUACAGAGGCGGCAAGCGUUGUUCGGAAUUAUUGGGCGUAAAGAGCACGUAGGCGGCUAUGUAAGUCGGUUGUGAAAGCCUUCCGCUCAACGGAAGAACAGCAUCCGAUACUACAUGGCUUGAGUGCGGGAGGGGAGAGUGGAACUUCUGGUGGAGCGGUGAAAUGCGUAGAUAUCAGAAGGAACGCCGGCGGCGAAAGCGGCUCUCUGGCCCAUAACUGACGCUGAGUGUGCAAAAGCUAGGGGAGCAAACGGGAUUAGAUACCCCGGUAGUCCUAGCCGUAAACGAUGGGCACUAAGUAGAGGGGUUUU
rnacentral:rRNA from 1 species